rnacentral:rRNA from 1 species
UGAGGAAUAUUGGACAAUGGGCGCAAGCCUGAUCCAGCCAUGCCGCGUGCAGGAUGAAGGCCUUCGGGUUGUAAACUGCUUUUUGUACGGAACGAAAAGACUCUGGUUAAUACCUGGGGUCCAUGACGGUACCGUAAGAAUAAGCACCGGCUAACUACGUGCCAGCAGCCGCGGUAAUACGUAGGGUGCGAGCGUUAAUCGGAAUUACUGGGCGUAAGGCGUGCGCAGGCGGUUAUAUAAGACAGAUGUGAAAUCCCCGGGCUCAACCUGGGAACUGCAUUUGUGACUGUAUAGCUAGAGUACGGCAGAGGGGGAUGGAAUUCCGCGUGUAGCAGUGAAAUGCGUAGAUAUGCGGAGGAACACCGAUGGCGAAGGCAAUCCCCUGGGCCUGUACUGACGCUCAUGCACGAAAGCGUGGGGAGCAAACAGGAUUAGAUACCCACGUAGUCCCUGAGCGGGCUGGCAAGGCGCAU